AGAGUUUGAUCCUGGCUCAGGAUGAACGCUAGCUACAGGCUUAACACAUGCAAGUCGAGGGGCAGCAUUAUCGAAGCUUGCUUUGAUAGAUGGCGACCGGCGCACGGGUGCGUAACACGUAUCCAAUCUACCCAUGGCUCAGGGAUAGCCUUUCGAAAGAAAGAUUAAUACCUGAUGGUUUCGUUUUUCCGCAUGGGAAGACGAAUAAAGAUUUAUCGGCGAUGGAUGAGGAUGCGUCCGAUUAGCUUGUUGGCGGGGUAACGGCCCACCAAGGCGACGACCGGUAGGGGCUCUGAGAGGAGGAUCCCCCACAUUGGAACUGAGACACGGUCCAAACUCCUACGGGAGGCAGCAGUGAGGAAUAUUGGUCAAUGGGCGAAGGCCUGAACCAGCCAAGUAGCGUGAGGGACGACUGCCCUAUGGGUUGUAAACCUCUUUUGUUUGGGAAUAAAGUGAGCCACGUGUGGCUUUUUGUAUGUACCUUACGAAUAAGCAUCGGCUAAUUCCGUGCCAGCAGCCGCGGUAAUACGGAAGAUGCGAGCGUUAUCCGGAUUUAUUGGGUUUAAAGGGAGCGUAGGCGGGUCUUUAAGCCAGCGGUCAAAUGUCAUGGCCCAACCUUGGCAUGCCGUUGGAACUGUUGGCCUUGAAUACACACAAGGAAGGUGGAAUUCGUCGUGUAGCGGUGAAAUGCUUAGAUAUGACGAAGAACUCCGAUUAGCGAAGGCAGCCUUCUGGGGUGCGAUUGACGCUGAGGCUCGAAAGUGCGGGUAUCGAACAGGAUUAGAUACCCUGGUAGUCCGCAC
rnacentral:rRNA from 1 species